rfam:Nicotiana sylvestris Nsyl_contig116535, whole genome shotgun sequence.
CAGUAACUUUGAUAUUGGCCAGGUUCACUCAGACAGAUACACAACAUCAUUUUGAAUGUUGGAGUUUUGCUUUGAUUGAGCCGUGCCAAUAUCUCAGUUCUCUUU